UUGUGCUCAGGUUUAGAACAUUUAUGCCUUGCUUCAGGCUAUGAUUGCACAGCGUGUAAACCACUAGUGUCUUGUCGUCAGCACAUUGUCUGAAGAAAUGCCAUGCCAGGGAACUCCUUGGAGCUGGCUUUAGUGUGCUCGGGUGCGGUGGGCAGUAGCAGGCAUACUGUCUAGGGGACAGCUGCUCCGCUUUUGCACCCUGCUCUAGGAGGAGGAGGUGGAUGUGGAGUAGGAGGUUGAGGAGGUGGUGACCAUGGCGGCGACGAUGCAUUCGGAUGUCUGCCCUAUCAACUUUCGAUGUUACUUUCUGCACCCACCAUGGUGACCACGGGUAACGGGGAAUCAGGGUUCGAUUCCGGAGAGGGAGCCUGAGAAAUGGCUACCACAUCCAAGGAAGGCAGCAGGCACACAAAUUACCCACUCCCGAUGCGGGAAGGUAGUGAUGAUAAAUAACAAUACUGCCCUGUAAUUGGAAUGAGUCCACUUUAAAUCAUUUAACGAGGAUCUAUUGGAGGACAAGUCUGGUGCAGAGCGACUGACCAAUGCGUGCUGCAGCUGAAACUCUGCUAUCACCUGCUGCUGCUCGCACAGUCUCUCCAGCA